UACGAAGGGGGCUAGCGUUGUUCGGAAUCACUGGGCGUAAAGGGCGCGUAGGCGGACGUUUAAGUCGGGGGUGAAAUCCCGUGGCUCAACCCCGGAACGGCCUUCGAUACUGGGCGUCUCGAGACCGGGAGAGGUGAGUGGAACUGCGAGUGUAGAGGUGAAAUUCGUAGAUAUUCGCAAGAACACCGGUGGCGAAGGCGGCCAACUGGUCCGACACUGACGCUGAGGCGCGAAAGCGUGGGGAGCAAACAGG
rnacentral:rRNA from 1 species